rnacentral:tRNA from 1 species
ACCCAGGUGGCUCAGUGGCGCUGAGCGUCAGACUUCAGCUCAGGUCAUGAUCUCAUGGUUCGUGGGUUCGAGCCCCACCUUGGGCU